rnacentral:tRNA from 3 species
AGGACGGUAACUCAGCGGGAGAGUGCUACCUUGACAGGGUAGAAGUCGCGGGUUCGAUCCCCGCCCGUCCUACCA